rnacentral:lncRNA from 1 species
CUCGCUCAGCCAUGUUGUGCCUGACUUGGGGUAGGUAGCGAUGAGCAGGUCAUCAGGCCGGGCUUGGAAGGCCUCCACCUGUGGCCAGCCUGCCACAAAGCAUUUGUAGAGUGGGAUGUCGUAAAGGCAGCCCAGGUCCUGCCUGAUCACCUCAUCAUUCCCCAUACUGGCAGCGGGUGCUCGCACACUGUCCGUGCCUGUGCCUGUGCCUGUGCCUGUGCCUGUGCCUGUGCCUGUGCCUGUGCCUGUGCCCGAGGAAAGGCAAAGUUCGUCCCACAUCACGUGUUGCCCUGCAGGGCGGUUACAGCUUCCUCGCCCGGCCCCACUUGGCUGCUUUCCACUGAGCUACGGGUGCGUCGGUCCCUUUGGGAUGAGAUGUGCUCAAGUAGGACAAGAUGUUCCACCGGCCCCUACAGCAGCCCCAUGGCAGAGCCUUGCUGUUGGGACAGUUUCUCUUGAGUGCUAGAGGAAUAGUGAAACGCUGCUCGGCAGGAGCAGGGAAUACCGGAGCCCAGCAAACCCCAAGGAGGAAUCGCGUUUUGGCGCGGGGGGGGGGGCACAUCAUCCCCCGCUCCCUUCGCUGGUCCGUCCUGCCGGAACCCGAACCCGCACUGCGCCGCGUAACGGCGGCCGAGAGCGAACCGCCCCCCUCGCGCCGCCCUGCAGCGAUAGGCGACCGUGUGCGCUGCGCCGCGCCCGCGAGGAGGCGCUGUGGUAGCGGAUGCCGGGGCCUGUGACGGUUCCCGCCCUCGUGAAAUCAGUGAUGUAAUACGUGAGUUACGGACAGGAGAGCGUGUGUUGACCUCCUCUUAAUGUGUUCUUUCUUCGCUAAGCAACGGACUGAGGGUCUGUCUGUUUUCUUUUCAAGAAGUGAAAAUGCAUACCUCCCAUCUAGUAGCCCGUUGAACUUUUUGCUUGUCUUAUGGGCUCUUAGAGGUGUCAAAGAUAUUUGUCUUCCUGAACGUGUUGCUGAGGUCUGGCUCCGUUUGGGCUUCUGGAAGGUAAAUCUCCAGACUGUGUCCCAGAAGGCAAUAAAAACACCUCUUGUGAGAUAUAAUUACAAACUUAGUGGAAUUAAAGCAGUGUUCCAUUUGCAUCAAUAUUAGGAUUUUCCUUUUUGAGCACAGAAAGAGAAUAUAUCUUUUCCAUUAAACUCAGUGAGAAAACUCCUCAGCAGCAAAAAGAAAGAAGACUUCUACCUGGUAUUUUCAUCAAAGGGGAAUGAUCAAUCAGCAUGCAGAAAUGUGUACUGGAGUUUCAAGUGUUCAGUGAAUAUAGUAAUUUGCCUUGCAGAUCGUUGUAGGAAUGACUUGGGAAAAUUUAGUCAACUGUUUAUAGGUACAAUGGAAUAAAAGAAAAGAAGCUUUCCUUCCUAAUUUUCCAUCCCUUUAAUUUCUGACCAGAGUUCUCAAAAACAAGCAGUUUCAGAAUCGAGAAGUUAAAUUCAACAAUACUUCUAUUGUAUUGCCCUUAUGUGAUUAAUAAACUCAGUACAUUCCAGUGUGUUUUCUAACAUGGGUCUGUAGCUGUUGAAACCAUAAAGUAUAUGUAGAAAAUAAAUAUAAUGUGCAUUUUUAAAAUUGUGGUAAGUAUAUAGGGUGUAUUUUGGACAUCGGUGUGCUUUGAAUUCCAGAUAAUUUGAGAAUUUUAUCCGUGUGAUGGUGCUUCCAUUAAGGAUAAUUUGUUUUCACACUUCUCUUUUCAGGUAUCUGAAAUAAUACGCAUACCUUAUCUUAAAUUGGAAAGUUGCAGGGGUACUAUCAAGUAUCUAUGAAAUAACUGCCUGGGCACUCACAUGCAUGUAUCAAAAUGUCUGUAUUACCUCCUCUAAAGGAAAUGCAAAGUGUGCUGUUUUAUGCCACUAAAUUAUGAAGAUGUAUUAAUAGUUGUAUUGAAGUUUUUUGAAUUAAUGAGGUUCGAGCUGACUGAGGCAGAACAAAUCACACAAGCUUUACAGCUGAAAAGUCAACCGCAUCUCACGUAGCAAGUAAUUUAAGGAAUAGCAUCUCACUGAUUCCAGACAUUCUGUAUGUUCAGGUCAGUUGGUAUCAUAUGACUGUAAUAAAAUAUUUCUUCUAACCGUUAGAAUCAAAAUAUUGCAAUUAAG